rnacentral:rRNA from 1 species
GACGUAGGGUCCAAGCGUUGUCCGGAUUUACUGGGCGUAAAGAGCUCGUAGGCGGUCUGUUAAGUGUAGAGUGAAAUCUCCAGGGCUCAACCCGGAAACUGCUCUGCAUACUGGCAGACUUGAGGGAUGCAGAGGUUUGUGGAAUUCCUGGUGUAGCGGUGGAAUGCGCAGAUAUCAGGAGGAACACCAAUAGCGAAGGCAGCUCGCUGGGACGGUACUGACGCUAAGGCGCGAAAGCGUGGGGAGCGAACAGG